GCUGCCUUUUGUCUAAGCUGCUGGCAAAUUCAAUGUGGACCACAACAGUCAGCCAUUUUCCAAACACGGAUGUGCUGUUUGUUCAGGAGAGCUUUAGUGCUUUGAAUGAGAUGUCUCCAAAAGAUUGCAGGCAUUUGAGUGCUUGGGAGGAUUAGGAGGCAUGACCUUGUUGGAGGAGGUGUAUCACUGGGGCAGGCUUAAGGUUUGCAAAUGUCCCCACCAUUCCUGGUGCUCUCUCUCCUUCCUGUCUGGAGAUCUGAGCUGUCAGCUGCUCCUGCCAUGCUGGCCUGCCUGUUGCCAUGGACAUGCCUGCCAUGAUGGUGAUGGGCUCCUAUCUGUCUGGGACUGUAAGGCCCGAAUCAGCUGUUCCUCUGUAAGUUGCCUGAGUUGUGGUGUUUGAUCACAGCAAUAGUAAAUAACUAAGAUGUGAAGGUUAGGCUUUACUUCGGCCUUUACCUCCAGAUGCCACAUCUCUGUAUCUACAUUCUGAGCACACACAACAGCUUCCUAACACCCGUGGAUUCCCGCGGGCCUAGUGUUCUUCCUGGGAUGCCAACUCUCAGUCCACUCAUAUCCAGGAAAUUCCCACCACUUAUUUUAGCCAACAUAAGCCCUUCAGUGAAAGGUAGAUGCCCUUUCCUAUAUAGCAUCAUGCUGUUACAUCUAGGCGACCUUUCACUAAUUCCACUGAUUUAUUUUGUCACUCUGCUGGGCUAUCAGCUUUGCAUUUCCAGCAGCAUGCCCGGCACUUGGCAUCUGGCCAGUGUUCAGUGAAUAUUAUUGAGAGAAACAAUGUCUCUUAUUAUAUUUUCUGGUGACCACCAGCAUUUAACCACGUCUUUGCUUGCAGCAAUGUACAAAGAAAGCCCUGAACGAAGGAAAAUCUGAAAACCUGGAUCCUGAAGCCUUGUGCUGCCUCUGAAAAGCCUUCUGCUCUGGUCCUGCACCCUGGCCUGUCAGACAUCCUGAGGCCCUUGGGGGUUCAGCCAUCCCUUACCCCAGACAUCUCAUGGCUACUGAGCUAAUAGGCCAUCUCUCUGUGAGAAAACCUGUCCUGUAUUCCACACCAUCAAUUACAUUCUGUAUUCUCUCCUAGUUGCCUUUUGUUAGCUUGAGCUGGGUUACCCAGGAACAGCAGCCAGGUCUGCAAAUGCCAUUUAUGUGCUCUGAUGGGAGCCAUUUGGCACAAUGUUCCAAUGUGCUCUGUCUACAGAUAACCAGGAAGGCUCCAGUUACAAGACAAACAGUCUUCGUCUUGCACUUCUGACUUACUUCCUAUUGAUGAGUGGCCUCCAGGCUUGGACUCAUCUGUUCCUCUUUUGUCUCCCAGAGUUAUCCAUUGCCAUCCAAGGCCUGGGAGGAAAUGCCCAGUUUCUUUGGUCUGAAGAUGCUGGAACAAGAUUGCUUGGACCAAUUACAGUUUCAUCACUUCUAGCUAUGUGAUGUUAGAUUAGUUACUUAACCUCUCAGACCUUCACUUUUUGUUAAUCUUUCAAAUGAACCACUGCUCCAUAGAUUUGUUGUGAAGAUUUACUCUGUUGGUUAAUAUGCUAAAAGUCCAUAUAAAAGGCUGAACAGAGUGUGCUGUAUUAAUACUAACAGGGAAUUAUUCCCUCUUAUCUUUCUUCUAAUUGUUCUUCUGGGCAACAAGAGCUUGAAGCUGCCCAUGUUUCUCAGCCCCUAGCAAAAAUGUGCAUUGGUAAGGCUAGUAUGUACUCCACACCUUGGACUUGAAGGAUUAUUGUGAUCCUCUUGUCUUAGUCUGCCCAGGAGCAGGACCCUGCUGGCUCUGGUGGCUCCUGGGUCUGUGGUUUGUGAAGUGUGGAUACUCUUAACCCUGUCUCUCUGGGUUAAAAGUGUGCUUUAUCUCUGAGACACCAAGAGCUAUUUUCAGAAGAAAACUCAAGAUAACCAGAGAGAAACUCUAGGAAAAAAUAUAUAAAAUACAGGAAGGCAAGAAAUAAUGCAUAAAUGUGUGUUUUGUUUUUAAAAAAAUCUAGUUAUGCUCUGACUGUAUCUAUGACCUUUUGAAUCUUUACCCCCUCCCUUUCGUUGCUGUUGUUUUGGUUUAUUUUAUUAUUAUUAUUUUUAAUAGCCUUGGCUGUGCUGCAACUCCCUCUAUAGACCAGGCUCUGCCUUUCUAGUGCUGGGAUUAAAGGCAUGUGUCACCACCACCCAGCCCUUGACUCUUUAAUCUUAAUUAUUGCAUAUAAAAUAGAGCAAAGACACAGAUAUCAAGGGAGAAAUAGGACCUAUCACAACCUGGGGUUCUACGUCUCUAUAUACUCCACAAGGCCUACAAAACCUGGACAUUAUACAGUCACCUUCUGUGUUUGCUUGAUAACUGCUUGUGGGCUGUGACCACUCUGUGAUUGAUGUGUUUUUGUUUUGUUUUGAGAUGGUCUUACUUUGUAGCUCUGACUGGCCUGGAACUUACUAUGUAGGCCAGGGCAGCCCUGAACUCACAGAUCUGCCUGCCCCUGCCCCCCAAAUUCUGUAAUCAAAGGUAUGUGCCACCAUGCCCAGAUAAACUAUGCAUAUUUUAAAAAUCUGGAAAUGGUCCA
rnacentral:lncRNA from 1 species